rnacentral:rRNA from 1 species
UACGUAGGGUGCAAGCGUUGUCCGGAAUUAUUGGGCGUAAAGAGCUCGUAGGCGGUCUGUCGCGUCUGCUGUGAAAUCUCAGGGCUUAACCCUGAGCUUGCAGUGGGUACGGGCAGACUAGAGUGCGGUAGGGGAGACUGGAAUUCCUGGUGUAGCGGUGAAAUGCGCAGAUAUCAGGAGGAACACCGGUGGUGAAGGCGGGUCUCUGGGCCGUAACUGACGCUGAGGAGCGAAAGCGUGGGGAGCGAACAGG